AAUGGGUUCGCCCCGAGAUAGGGAUGGUGGCUCCGUAGAGCAGUGCGGUUCUUGCGCUGUCCGGUGCGCUCGCGUCGGCCCUUGAAAAUCCGAGUGAGGGAGUGUGAUUUUCGUGCCGGACCGUACCCACAUCCGCAGCAGGUCUCCAAGGUGAACAGCCUCUAGUCGAUGGACCAAUGUAGGUAAGGGAAGUCGGCAAAACGGAUCCGUAACCUUGGGAUAAGGAUUGGCUCUGAGGACUGAGCCGGUCGGGCUGGGGACCUGAAGCAGGAACGGCACUGCACCGGGACUGGGCGGGGCUCGCCGUUGACGCGGCGCGGCCAAGCCCGGACCAGCGUCGGGACCUUCCUGUGGAAAGCCUCAGCUGCGCGGCGUCUGAGGGCUUCGUGCCCAAAGUGCUAUGCUUCGGCCGGCAAAAAACAGUCAACUCAGAACUGGCACGGACCGGGGGAAUCCGACUGUCUAAUUAAAACAAAGCAUUGCGAUGGCCGCUGGUCGGUGUUGACGCAAUGUGAUUUCUGCCCAGUGCUCUGAAUGUCAACGUGAAGAGAUUCAUCAAAGCGCGGGUAAACGGCGGGAGUAUCUCUGACUCUCUUGAAUUCCACGACUUUCAGGGGGGCUUUGGGGAUGACCGCAGCGCAUCCUCAAACAUUAUCAUACUGCAGGCACUCAUGAAAAAAAGAAAAACCGACCGCCGCAGCCUCUUCGCCUUGAGCCUCGACGUGAAGAAGGCGUUUGACACUGUAAGCCACCACGCAAUCAUCGAGGUCCUCAGGGGGAGGGGACUGCCAACAGCCUACGUUGAAGUCGUUAGGGAUCUGUACACCGGCUCAUCCACCACCUUCUGGGCCGGCGGUACAACAGACGAUAUCAAGGUCCCUGUACGACAGGGAAUUAAGCAGGGAGAUCCCCUUUCCCCUUUCCUUUUUAAUUGCGUGCUCGACCCCCUACUAAUGGAUCUUAACCGGGACCGGGCCGGUCUAGACGUCGGCAGCCAGACCAUUGGAGCCCUCGCAUUUGCCGAUGACCUCAUCCUAACAUCUUCCAGCUUUGAGGGUCUCCGAAGUUUGCUGGCGACUACAGAAUCUUACCUAGCAGAGGUGGGGCUGCUGCUUAAUCCAGCAAAGACAGUCCUGUUUGGCUGGAAGGCGACAGCUGACCGACUUCUCUACGACCUACCUCCAAUCAUUGUCGCCGGCAUACCCGUCCCAUCUACCCCCAUUGAUACACCCAUCCGAUACCUCGGCAUCGAUUUCUUUAUUAACAAACGCCCGGUGGUUCAUUCCCAGCACGCCGAGGACGACCUAACAAUCAUAGAGUCCGCCUCCCUGAGCCUUUCAGAAGCUGCGUGUAUCAACACCCU
rnacentral:ncRNA from 1 species